rnacentral:tRNA from 2 species
GGCCGGUUAGCUCAAUGGUAGAGCAGUUGACUCUUAAUCAAUUGGUUACAGGUUCGAGUCCUGCACCGGCUACCA